CCCGCUCUCGUCUUCCCCACCAACAAAACAAAAAAGCAUUCCUCUCUCGUGACGCAAGAGAUAAUGAAUGGUGAGAAAACAAUCAAUUCGUUGAAAAAAGUAAUCAAUCCUUUAAAAGGGAGGCACAAGGAAUUCCCCAGCAAACAACCAUUCAAACGCUCCGAUAAAAGAAGCUUACAGGAGUUUGGGAACCCAAGGAAACCAACUUUCUUUAAGAUUAAUCCCAAAAAUUAUCACACGUACAUGCUCCGCUACCUCUCGGAGCGACCUUAUUGGAGCUUUGAGACCCUGCCUGGUGUAACAUGCACAUAAGCAUGCUUAGCUCUCUAAAAAUUUCGUAUGGACUUCACCUGCAAGGUUUCAUCUUCAUCCUUCAAUGGUCAACU
rnacentral:lncRNA from 1 species